rnacentral:rRNA from 1 species
UACGGGGGGGGCAAGCGUUGUUCGGAAUUACUGGGCGUAAAGGGCUCGUAGGCGGCCAACUAAGUCGGACGUGAAAUCCCCAGGCUCAACCUGGGAACUGCGUCUGAUACUGGAUGGCUUGAGUUCGGGAGAGGGAUGCGGAAUUCCAGGUGUAGCGGUGAAAUGCGUAGAUAUCUGGAGGAACACCGGUGGCGAAGGCGGAUCUCUGGGCAACAACUGACGCUGAGGAGCGAAAGCGUGGGGAGCGAACAGG